AUGAAGGACGUUACUAACGACGAUAUGCUUUGGGGAGCUGUAAGUAAGCUUUGAUCCAGAGAUUUCCGAAUGGGGAAACCCAGCAUGAGUUAUGUCAUGUUAUCGAUAUGUGAAUACAUAGCAUAUCAGAAGGCACACCCGGAGAACUGAAACAUCUUAGUACCCGGAGGAAGAGAAAGAAAAUUCGAUUCCCUUAGUAGCGGCGAGCGAAAYRGGAAGAGCCCAAACCAACAAGCUUGCUUGUUGGGGUUGUAGGACACUCUAUACGGAGUUAYAAAGGACGACAUUAGACGAAUCAUCUGGAAAGAUGAAUCAAAGAAGGUAAUAAUCCUGUAGUCGAAAAUGUUGUCUCUCUUGAGUGGAUCCUGAGUACGACGGAGCACGUGAAAUUCCGUCGGAAUCUGGGAGGACCAUCUCCUAAGGCUAAAUACUCUCUAGUGACCGAUAGUGAACCAGUACCGUGAGGGAAAGGUGAAAAGCACCCCGGAAGGGGAGUGAAAUAGAACCUGAAACCGUGUGCUUACAAGUAGUCAGAGCCCGUUAAUGGGUGAUGGCGUGCCUUUUGUAGAAUGAACCGGCGAGUUACGAUUUGAUGCAAGGUUAAGCAGUAAAUGUGGAGCCGUAGCGAAAGCGAGUCUGAAUAGGGCGUUUAGUAUUUGGUCGUAGACCCGAAACCAGGUGAUCUACCCUUGGUCAGGUUGAAGUUCAGGUAACACUGAAUGGAGGACCGAACCGACUUACGUUGAAAAGUGAGCGGAUGAACUGAGGGUAGCGGAGAAAUUCCAAUCGAACCUGGAGAUAGCUGGUUCUCUCCGAAAUAGCUUUAGGGCUAGCCUCAAGUGAUGAUUAUUGGAGGUAGAGCACUGUUUGGACGAGGGGCCCCUCUCGGGUUACCGAAUUCAGACAAACUCCGAAUGCCAAUUAAUUUAACUUGGGAGUCAGAACAUGGGUGAUAAGGUCCGUGUUCGAAAGGGAAACAGCCCAGACCACCAGCUAAGGUCCCAAAAUAUAUGUUAAGUGGAAAAGGAUGUGGCGUUGCCCAGACAACUAGGAUGUUGGCUUAGAAGCAGCCAUCAUUUAAAGAGUGCGUAAUAGCUCACUAGUCGAGUGACACUGCGCCGAAAAUGUACCGGGGCUAAACAUAUUACCGAAGCUGUGGAUUGUCCUUUGGACAAUGGUAGGAGAGCGUUCUAAGGGCGUUGAAGCAUGAUCGUAAGGACAUGUGGAGCGCUUAGAAGUGAGAAUGCCGGUGUGAGUAGCGAAAGACGGGUGAGAAUCCCGUCCACCGAUUGACUAAGGUUUCCAGAGGAAGGCUCGUCCGCUCUGGGUUAGUCGGGUCCUAAGCUGAGGCCGACAGGCGUAGGCGAUGGAUAACAGGUUGAUAUUCCUGUACCACCUAUAAUCGUUUUAAUCGAUGGGGGGACGCAGUAGGAUAGGCGAAGCGUGCGAUUGGAUUGCACGUCUAAGCAGUAAGGCUGAGUAUUAGGCAAAUCCGGUACUCGUUAAGGCUGAGCUGUGAUGGGGAGAAGACAUUGUGUCUUCGAGUCGUUGAUUUCACACUGCCGAGAAAAGCCUCUAGAUAGAAAAUAGGUGCCCGUACCGCAAACCGACACAGGUAGUCAAGAUGAGAAUUCUAAGGUGAGCGAGCGAACUCUCGUUAAGGAACUCGGCAAAAUGACCCCGUAACUUCGGGAGAAGGGGUGCUCUUUAGGGUUAACGCCCAGAAGAGCCGCAGUGAAUAGGCCCAAGCGACUGUUUAUCAAAAACACAGGUCUCUGCUAAACCGUAAGGUGAUGUAUAGGGGCUGACGCCUGCCCGGUGCUGGAAGGUUAAGAGGAGUGGUUAGCUUCUGCGAAGCUACGAAUCGAAGCCCCAGUAAACGGCGGCCGUAACUAUAACGGUCCUAAGGUAGCGAAAUUCCUUGUCGGGUAAGUUCCGACCCGCACGAAAGGCGUAACGAUUUGGGCACUGUCUCAACGAGAGACUCGGUGAAAUCAUAGUACCUGUGAAGAUGCAGGUUACCCGCGACAGGACGGAAAGACCCCGUGGAGCUUUACUGUAGCCUGAUAUUGAAAUUCGGCACAGCUUGUACAGGAUAGGUAGGAGCCUUUGAAACGUGAGCGCUAGCUUACGUGGAGGCGCUGGUGGGAUACUACCCUAGCUGUGUUGGCUUUCUAACCCGCACCACUUAUCGUGGUGGGAGACAGUGUCAGGCGGGCAGUUUGACUGGGGCGGUCGCCUCCUAAAAGGUAACGGAGGCGCUCAAAGGUUCCCUCAGAAUGGUUGGAAAUCAUUCAUAGAGUGUAAAGGCAUAAGGGAGCUUGACUGCGAGACCUACAAGUCGAGCAGGGUCGAAAGACGGACUUAGUGAUCCGGUGGUUCCGCAUGGAAGGGCCAUCGCUCAACGGAUAAAAGCUACCCCGGGGAUAACAGGCUUAUCUCCCCCAAGAGUUCACAUCGACGGGGAGGUUUGGCACCUCGAUGUCGGCUCAUCGCAUCCUGGGGCUGUAGUCGGUCCCAAGGGUUGGGCUGUUCGCCCAUUAAAGCGGUACGCGAGCUGGGUUCAGAACGUCGUGAGACAGUUCGGUCCCUAUCCGUCGUGGGCGUAGGAAAUUUGAGAGGAGCUGUCCUUAGUACGAGAGGACCGGGAUGGACAUACCUCUGGUGUACCAGUUGUCGUGCCAACGGCAUAGCUGGGUAGCUAUGUGUGGACGGGAUAAGUGCUGAAAGCAUCUAAGCAUGAAGCCCCCCUCAAGAUGAGAUUUCCCAACUUCGGUUAU
rnacentral:rRNA from 1 species